GACGAACGCUGGCGGCGUGCUUAACACAUGCAAGUCGAACGGUGAACCUCUUCGGAGGGGAUCAGUGGCGAACGGGUGAGUAACACGUGGGCAACCUGCCCCCGGCUCUGGGAUAACUCCAAGAAAUUGGGGCUAAUACCGGAUGUUCACCGCUUCCCGCAUGGGUGGUGGUGGAAAGGGUUGGCGGCUGGGGGUGGGCCCGCGGCCUAUCCGCUUGUUGGUGGGGUAGUGGCCUACCAAGGCGACGACGGGUAGCCGGCCUGAGAGGGUGACCGGCCACACUGGGACUGAGACACGGCCCAGACUCCUACGGGAGGCAGCAGUGGGGAAUAUUGCGCAAUGGGCGGAAGCCUGACGCAGCGACGCCGCGUGGGGGAUGACGGCCUUCGGGUUGUAAACCUCUUUCAGCAGGGACGAAGCGCAAGUGACGGUACCUGCAGAAGAAGCGCCGGCCAACUACGUG
rnacentral:rRNA from 1 species